UACCGCAUAACGUCGCAAGACCAAAGAGGGGGACCUUCGGGCCUCUUGCCAUCAGAUGUGCCCAGAUGGGAUUAGCUUGUUGGUGAGGUAACGGCUCACCAAGGCGACGAUCCCUAGCUGGUCUGAGAGGAUGACCAGCCACACUGGAACUGAGACACGGUCCAGACUCCUACGGGAGGCAGCAGUGGGGAAUAUUGCACAAUGGGCGCAAGCCUGAUGCAGCCAUGCCGCGUGUAUGAAGAAGGCCUUCGGGUUGUAAAGUACUUUC
rnacentral:rRNA from 1 species